rnacentral:rRNA from 1 species
GACGUAGGGCGCGAGCGUUGUCCGGAUUUAUUGGGCGUAAAGAGCUCGUAGGCGGCUCGUCGCGUCGACUGUGAAAACCCACGGCUUAACUGUGGGCUUGCAGUCGAUACGGGCAGGCUAGAGUUCGGUAGGGGAGACUGGAAUUCCUGGUGUAGCGGUGAAAUGCGCAGAUAUCAGGAGGAACACCGGUGGCGAAGGCGGGUCUCUGGGCCGAUACUGACGCUGAGGAGCGAAAGCGUGGGGAGCGAACAGG